rnacentral:tRNA from 1 species
AGCUCCAGUUGGUUAGAGCAGCUGUUUCGUAAACAGCAGGUCGGGGGUUCAAAUCCCCUGAGAG